rnacentral:rRNA from 1 species
UACGGGGGGGGCAAGCGUUGUUCGGAAUUACUGGGCGUAAAGGGCUCGUAGGUGGCCAACUAAGUCAGACGUGAAAUCCCUCGGCUUAACCGGGGAACUGCGUCUGAUACUGGAUGGCUUGAGUUUGGGAGAGGGAUGCGGAAUUCCAGGUGUAGCGGUGAAAUGCGUAGAUAUCAGGAGGAACACCGACGGCGAAGGCAGCUUACUGGGCCGAUACUGACGCUGAGGAGCGAAAGCGUGGGGAGCGAACAGG